rnacentral:rRNA from 1 species
AGUGAACGCUGGCGGUAGGCCUAACACAUGCAAGUCGAACGGCAGCACAGUAAGAGCUUGCUCUUACGGGUGGCGAGUGGCGGACGGGUGAGGAAUACAUCGGAAUCUACUUUUUCGUGGGGGAUAACGUAGGGAAACUUACGCUAAUACCGCGUACGACCUACGGGUGAAAGCAGGGGAUCUUCGGACCUUGCGCGAUUGAAUGAGCCGAUGUCGGAUUAGCUAGUUGGCGGGGUAAAGGCCCGCCAAGGCGACGAUCCGUAGCUGGUCUGAGAGGAUGAUCAGCCACACUGGAACUGAGACACGGUCCAGACUCCUACGGGAGGCAGCAGUGGGGAAUAUUGGACAAUGGGCGCAAGCCUGAUCCAGCCAUACCGCGUGGGUGAAGAAGGCCUUCGGGUUGUAAAGCCCUUUUGUUGGGAAAGAAAAGCAGCAGGUUAAUACCCCGCUGUUCCGACGGUACCCAAAGAAUAAGCACCGGCUAACUUCGUG